rnacentral:lncRNA from 1 species
GACAGAGCAAGACUCUGUCUCAAAAAAACAACAACAAGGCCAAAUGUCACCCCAUGAUCUUAACAAGGGAACAGUCAGAAUCCAAAUCCUAAGCACACAAAGCUACUUUCUUAAGGGCAAUGGGAGAGGGAAAUUGUGAUGGCCCCAAGCUAGAACCUAAAUUACACCUUUACUUUAGAACUGAGUAUAGAAGGAUACAUAUCCUAGGGCACAGAUGGGACACCUCUGUCGAUGCUAGAAGAAUUCUAUGUGUGUUUGGAGGUGGCAUAGCAUACCUGUUAGAAAGGCUUUGCUAUUUACUACUGUGGGACCACAAGCAAGUUAUCUCUUUUCUGAACCUCAGUUUCCUCAACUAUAAAAAAGAGAUACGGAUGCUUAGCUAAUAUUGCUGGAAUUGAAUGCAGAAAUGAAAGAAAGCUUUUAGCACAGGGCUUUACCCUAACAGGCACUUACUGUUAAGAGUGGUUUAUUACCAGGUAGGUAACUAAGCAAGGAAGAUGUGUGUUAAUCAAUUUGGCAUGAGAUUUAAAAUUUUAUUACCCAACACAUUAUUUUCACUAAAGUAUCCUUGGUUAAAACUCAGUUAAUACUAGCAUUUAAUAAGAUAACUCAAAUUUCUCCAAAAAAAUGGACAAAUUGGAUGUCUUCAAUUCACUUGACUUACAAAAUGGUUUUAAUAUGAGAAUUGUCUAGUCAUAAGUUGUCACUCAAGAACAAAAAUUAUCUGUUCUGGCACUAACUGGCAUGUGAUUCUGGUGAGGCACAUCAUGACUCUGGGUCUCCUCUACAAGGAGGGGGUUGUGGGAGUGCCCUGGUUCCUUCCAUCUUGAACAUUCGUGAUUCCAAAGUAGCACUCCAGCAUAGCCCUGAUUUACUUCUAGUUCCUUUCCUUUUCAGGACAUUGACAUAAAGUAGAACUUGCUUCCAAUACGUCUUAAAGGUUAAAUGUUACACACAGCGUACAGUCAAUGCAAGGAGGCCUGCACACAGGGAACUUCUGUCUAGGACUGCGGCCGGUAAGACCUUCCUGUGUGGACCACAGCACUGCUCAGGAAAGCUGCCUGCAGGAGCUGUGAAGUUGCAGAAUUUUGGUUUAUUGGGAUGCAUCCUGGUGCUUGCCUACAGAUCUUGUUUUGCAAAGUGCAGAGGCAAUACAUGGAGAUGCAGCAGCCAUCUUGUGACCAUGAGGACAAAGAUCAUUUACCAAGGAUGACAGAAGAGAAAGUUAGCAAGAGCCUUGACCCCUGAUGAGGUGAAGUCAUUUCACCAGCCUAUCACAGCUUCUAGUCUUCUUGGGAAUGAAAAGUUUCUAUGCCAAAUUCUAGGCCAGAUCUAUAACGUCAUUUUUCUGAGAAACAAAACUGCUUUAGAUGUUGCAAAUUCAUCCCACCUCCUGCUGCAGCUAUGAUACUCAGAGAAACGUUGGGACGAGGCCUGCAGAGGAUGUGUUCUGGGUAUUUGGUGGCCCUGCUGGUGAGCACUGGUGUUCCUUGAGGUCAACCUGUGCUGAGGACAGGAAUAUUUCACCCAAGUACAUAACUAAGAGAAGAUCACUCCCAGAAGAUUUCAUCCCCAAAAGCAAGAAGGUGAAGGACACUUGUACCCAGACAGUGAGAUCCACUGCCUCCUUGCCAUGCUUUUAGCUCCCCCCACAGCUGAGCCCUCCUGACCAGAAAACCUGACGGGGCCACCUUCUUCAUCCCUCAGUCUCACAGAGGUCCCAUAAAACUGAACCAGGCUUGGUGCUGACAGUGGGCCAGGGCAAUGUAGGCUCACUGGAGCUGGGUGAGAGUGUGACAGGGAGCGUCAAAGUCAAAAUAAAAAUAUAAAGACAAAUCUCUAAA